AUUGAACGCUGGCGGCAUGCCUUACACAUGCAAGUCGAACGGUAACAGGUCUUCGGAUGCUGACGAGUGGCGAACGGGUGAGUAAUACAUCGGAACGUGCCCGAUCGUGGGGGAUAACGCAGCGAAAGCUGUGCUAAUACCGCAUACGAUCUACGGAUGAAAGCGGGGGAUCGCAAGACCUCGCGCGGACGGAGCGGCCGAUGGCAGAUUAGGUAGUUGGUGGGAUAAAAGCUUACCAAGCCGACGAUCUGUAGCUGGUCUGAGAGGACGACCAGCCACACUGGGACUGAGACACGGCCCAGACUCCUACGGGAGGCAGCAGUGGGGAAUUUGGACAAUGGGGAAACCCUGAUCCAGCCAUGCCGCGUGCAGGAUGAAGGCCUUCGGUUGUAACUGCUUUGUACGGAACGAAAGGUCCUUUCUAAUAAAGAGGGCUCAUGACGGUACCGUAAGAAUAAGCACCGGCUAACUACGUGCCAGCAGCCGCGGU
rnacentral:rRNA from 1 species